CGUGUAGGCGGCCAAACAGGUCCGUUGUGAAAACUGGAGGCUUAACCUCCAGACGUCGACGGAAACCGUAUGGCUAGAGUCCGGAAGAGGAGAGUGGAAUUCCUGGUGUAGCGGUGAAAUGCGCAGAUAUCAGGAAGAACACCAAUGGCGAAGGCAGCUCUCUGGGACGGUACUGACGCUGAGCGCGAAAGCGUGGGAGCGAACA
rnacentral:rRNA from 1 species